GCUGACCCAUCUUGAGAGAGCGGGAGGGAAAAUGGCGAACGACUUUGGUGUAGGUCAGGGAUUUGCUUUAGUUGCUGCAAUAAGUCGCAGUAGAACAGUCGUGGAAAAAUAAGUUCAUAAGUGCAUUAUUAGUGUUUAGAUAAAUUAAACCACCGGGGACCCUAUCUAAAGGGCCCCGGAAAUUUAAGGGAUUCGGGAAUACUCACCUGGCUGACCUAACCUGGUCGUGAGGACCACGUCGGCCACCAGCGUCAGCAGCUCCAGCAACUGCCUCCGAGACGGCCACAUACGGAGAUUCCCUCUGUGAGUUUGUUCCGGGAACGAAUGCCCGCGCUGACCACUUGGUCAUCUCCAAGUCCACCGACGCACUGGAGCAAUUGGCUCCGUGCGGACUCGCGCCUGUUUUCGCCGCUAGCGAUUCUUCUCUUCUGGCUGCAGCUUCAACCACAUCCGACGUUGAACUCUGCAAUAAAUAAGUUUAGUAAUUAAUUUUGUGAUAUCAUACAGUCAUGAUUGUCAAGUACUCACUGUGAAAUCUAAUCUAAAAUCAGAGGCUUAAUUCCGAACCCUAGCCGCGCGUCCAACUACGUCUAAAUUGGGUCCCGAAAUUUAAUGACUUGUGGGAUUUAUUUAGCGUACUUACCUUUUCAGCACGUCCCUUCUUUUCCCUUGGAGCUCCUCAGGAUUAGGCGACCCGGUUGGCAAACGCCUCCAAUUUAGUGCCGUGCGGCGAUUUUUGCCUGACACUUGUAGUAUUAAGCGUCUAAAAAUUUCACUUCGGUUGUUGUCACUUUGACCGCUUUUCAUCUGGGCGACGGCCUGAGAUCGGCCUAGAGUGUUUCUAACGAAAAGAGUAGAUUAUUAGUAGGCAUCAAUAAUGAAUGUAUUUAUUUAUUAAUCUUGCCCAAAAUUAAAUGUGAACAAGCUACCGA